rnacentral:rRNA from 1 species
UACAGAGGGGGCAAGCGUUGUUCGGAAUUACUGGGCGUAAAGGGCGCGUAGGCGGCCUGUUAAGUCGAACGUGAAAUCCCCGGGCUCAACCCGGGAACUGCGUCCGAUACUGGCAGGCUUGAAUCCGGGAGAGGGAUGCGGAAUUCCAGGUGUAGCGGUGAAAUGCGUAGAUAUCAGGAAGAACACCCGUGGCGAAGGCGGCUCUCUGGGACGGUACUGACGCUGAGACGCGAAAGCGUGGGGAGCAAACAGG